rnacentral:rRNA from 1 species
UACGGAGGGUGCGAGCGUUAAUCGGAAUUACUGGGCGUAAAGGGUGCGUAGGUGGUUUGGUAAGUUAUCUGUGAAAGCCCUGGGCUUAACCUGGGAAGGUCAGAUAAGACUGCGAGACUUGAGUAUGGGAGAGGGUAGUGGAAUUUCCGGUGUAGCGGUGAAAUGCGUAGAGAUCGGAAGGAACACCAGUGGCGAAGGCGGCUACCUGGCCUAAUACUGACACUGAAGCACGAAAGCGUGGGGAGCAAACAGGAUUAGAUACCCUGGUAGUCCACGCCGUAAACGAUGUCAACUAGCUGUUGGGCAUAUGAAUGUGCUUAGUGGCGUAGCUAACGCGCUAAGUUGACCGCCUGGGGAGUACGAUCGCAAGAUUAAA